CAAAUGGAUCGAUAUGAGGAAAUUACAUCAAAUUAAGCUGCAUAAUGUCUGACCAAUCCAAUUGGCAAAUUGAAAUAUAGAAAUGGAUGAAACGUGGGGGGUCUCAAGUUGCAUGCAGCUGAGCUCGUAAGCAGCUUCCUCGGCCACACUAGCUAAGGCAUCAGAGGGAACCUGCCGUCGAGCACGAGGCUGUGCCCAGUGAUGCCCUUGCUAGCGUCUGAUGCCAGGU
rnacentral:lncRNA from 1 species